AUUGAACGCUGGCGGCAUGCCUUACACAUGCAAGUCGAACGGCAGCACGGGAGCAAUCCUGGUGGCGAGUGGCGAACGGGUGAGUAAUAUAUCGGAACGUGCCCAGUCGUGGGGGAUAACGUAGCGAAAGCUACGCUAAUACCGCAUACGAUCUACGGAUGAAAGCGGGGGAUCGCAAGACCUCGCGCGAUUGGAGCGGCCGAUAUCAGAUUAGCUAGUUGGUGGGGUAAAAGCUCACCAAGGCGACGAUCUGUAGCUGGUCUGAGAGGACGACCAGCCACACUGGAACUGAGACACGGUCCAGACUCCUACGGGAGGCAGCAGUGGGGAAUUUUGGACAAUGGGCGCAAGCCUGAUCCAGCAAUGCCGCGUGCAGGAUGAAGGCCUUCGGGUUGUAAACUGCUUUUGUACGUAAACGAAACGGUGAGCUCUAAUAAAGCUUGCUAAUGACGGUACCGUAAGAAUAAGCACCGGCUAACUACGUG
rnacentral:rRNA from 1 species